rnacentral:lncRNA from 1 species
UUCCUUUCGGCUCAUUGUCGUGGAUGCCAAAAAAGACCAGAUUUAGCCUCCGGCUCCUGUUUUCGAGGUCGUCGAUUCUAGCCGCAAGCUUCCGCUCUGAAUCCUCAACUUGUGAAAUACGGUUUUCAAUCACAGUAGUCUUGCCAUAGCAGAGGCUGAACGUCUAUAGGUGCUUAAACGUCUUGUUUGCAGUAGCUACGAAUCCAUUCGCGUCGUUGUAAACAAGCUCUAUGGGAAUUAGCGCCACCCAUCUAAGCUCCCCAACAAACCACACCAUCUCCCUUGGAUAUACCGAAAUGACCCGAAUGUGGAGCUCCUAAAUUUACGUUUCUUAAAAAGUGGCAAAACGUUUUUCUGGAUAUAUACAAACAACUCAAAAGUUACUAAGCACCAAAAAGAGCUACAUAAGGUCAUUGCGGGACCACCAAUUUUCAUAAAAACACCAUCAAAACAAAACAGCCCGCAUUGAUCCCCGAAAUGCCCUUGUGGGAGCAAAAUACUUUUGUGAAAAAGAAAGGAAAAAGAAAAGCGGCGCAGCAUGGGCGCUUGGUGUUUCGCUUCGCGCAUGCGCGCUUGUUGACGUGCUUCGUCUGUGUCGUCUUUGUCUGCCGUCUUUGUGAACUUUGCAGCGCUGCCUUCAUGAUCCGAUGUGCAGCCGCGGUUUUUCGUUGGGUGUGUGUGCUCUGUGGAUUCGGGCGGCAGUGAAGAAGUCAUCGUCAAGAUUGCAGGAUUUUUGUGGGUUUUCAUCGCUACGAAAGAUAUUCAAAAACAGAGGAAGAAGAGAAGCACUGCAACUAAGGUUCUUCUACUUGGGCUAGACUGCAGAAGAUGAGCUGAAAAUUAAUCGCUUCUGUAUUUACAUAGUUAUUUUAUUAAAAUAUAUUUCGCAA